rnacentral:rRNA from 2 species
GCUCUGUUGUUAGGGAAGAACAAGUAUCGGAGUAACUGCCGGUACCUUGACGGUACCUAACCAGAAAGCCACGGCUAACUACGUGCCAGCAGCCGCGGUAAUACGUAGGUGGCAAGCGUUGUCCGGAAUUAUUGGGCGUAAAGCGCGCGCAGGCGGUCCUUUAAGUCUGAUGUGAAAGCCCACGGCUCAACCGUGGAGGGUCAUUGGAAACUGGGGGACUUGAGUGCAGAAGAGGAAAGCGGAAUUCCACGUGUAGCGGUGAAAUGCGUAGAGAUGUGGAGGAACACCAGUGGCGAAGGCGGCUUUCUGGUCUGUAACUGACGCUGAGGCGCGAAAGCGUGGGGAGCAAACAGGAUUAGAUACCCUGGUAGUCCACGCCGUAAACGAUGAGUGCUAAGUGUU